rnacentral:rRNA from 1 species
UACGGGGGGAGCAAGCGUUGUUCGGAUUUACUGGGCGUAAAGGGCGCGUAGGCGGCCACCGCAAGUCGACUGUGAAAUCUCCGGGCUUAACUCGGAAAGGUCAGCCGAUACUGCGGGGCUAGAGUGCAGAAGGGGCAACUGGAAUUCUCGGUGUAGCAGUGAAAUGCGUAGAUCUCGAGAGGAACACCAGUGGCGAAGGCGGGUCUCUGGACAACACCUGACGCUGAGGCACGAAAGCCAGGGGAGCAAACAGGG